UACGUAGGGGGCGAGCGUUGUCCGGAUUUAUUGGGCGUAAAGAGCUCGUAGGCGGUUCGGUUAGUCGGGUGUGAAAACUUUGGGCUCAACCCAAAGCGUGCACUCGAUACUGCCGUGACUAGAGUUCGGUAGGGGAGUGGGAAUUCCUAGUGUAGCGGUGAAAUGCGCAGAUAUUAGGAGGAACACCGGUGGCGAAGGCGCCACUCUGGGCCGAAACUGACGCUGAGGAGCGAAAGCGUGGGUAGCAAACAGG
rnacentral:rRNA from 1 species